rnacentral:rRNA from 1 species
GAGUGUGUCGAUAGCGCUGAGGAAACACCUGGUCCCAUCUCGAACCCAGAAGUUAAGCUCAGUUGCGGCGAAGGUAGUGCCAGGGAAACUUGGUGUUAGAAUAGCAGGGUGCACUUU